UACAGAGACUGCAAGCGUUAUUCGGAUUCACUGGGCGUAAAGGGUGCGCAGGCGCCAGGUGUGUUAGGCGUGAAAGCCCGGGGCUUAACCCCGGAAUUGCACCUAAAACUACUUGGCUAGAGCAUUGGAGAGGGUAGCGGAAUUCACGGUGUAGCAGUGAAAUGCGUAGAUAUCGUGAGGAACACCAGAGGCGAAGGCGGCUACCUGGACAAUUGCUGACGCUCAGGCACGGAAAGCGUGGGGAGCAAAAGGG
rnacentral:rRNA from 1 species